rnacentral:rRNA from 1 species
GAUCAUGGCUCAGGAUGAACGCUAGCGGCAGGCCUAGCACAUGCAAGUCGAGGGGCAGCACGGUGUAGCAAUACACUGGUGGCGACCGGCGCACGGGCGCGUAACGCGUAUGCAACCUACCCAUAACAGGGGGAUAACACUGAGAAAUUGGUACUAAUACCCCAUAACAUCAGGACCGGCAUCGGUUCUGGUUGAAAACUCCGGUGGUUAUGGAUGGGCAUGCGUUGUAUUAGCUGG